GACGAACGCUGGCGGCGUGCCUAAUACAUGCAAGUCGAACGCUGAAGAGAGGAGCUUGCUCUUCUUGGAUGAGUUGCGAACGGGUGAGUAACGCGUAGGUAACCUGCCUUGUAGCGGGGGAUAACUUUGGGAAACGAUAGCUAAUACCGCAUAACAAUGGAUGUCACAUGUUAUUUAUUUGAAAGGGGCAAUUGCUCCACUACAAGAUGGACCUGCGUUGUAUUAGCUAGUAGGUGAGGUAAUGGCUCACCUAGGCGACGAUACAUAGCCGACCUGAGAGGGUGAACGGCCACACUGGGACUGAGACACGGCCCAGACUCCUACGGGAGGCAGCAGUAGGGAAUCGUCGGCAAUGGGGGGAAGCCUGACCGAGCAACGCCGCGUGAGUGAAGAAGGUUUUCGGAUCGUAAAGCUCUGUUGUUAGUGAAGAAAGGGUGUGAGAGUGAAAAGUUCACACUGUGACGGUAGCUUAACAGAAAGCGACGGCUAACUACGUG
rnacentral:rRNA from 1 species